UGCUGACGAGUGGCGAACGGGUGAGUAAUACAUCGGAACGUGCCCAAUCGUGGGGGAUAGCUCGGCGAAAGCCGGAUUAAUACCGCAUACGAUCUACGGAUGAAAGCAGGGGAUCGCAAGACCUUGCGCGACUGGAGCGGCCGAUGGCAGAUUAGGUAGUUGGUGGGGUAAAGGCUCACCAAGCCGACGAUCUGUAGCUGGUCUGAGAGGACGACCAGCCACACUGGGACUGAGACACGGCCCAGACUCCUACGGGAGGCAGCAGUGGGGAAUUUUGGACAAUGGGCGCAAGCCUGAUCCAGCAAUGCCGCGUGCAGGAUGAAGGCCUUCGGGUUGUAAACUGCUUUUGUACGGAGCGAAAAGGCUCUGGCUAAUACCCGGGGCUCAUGACGGUACCGUAAGAAUAAGCACCGGCUAACUACGUGCCAGCAGCCGCGGUAAUACGUAGGGUGCGAGCGUUAAUCGGAAUUACUGGGCGUAAAGCGUGCGCAGGCGGUGAUGUAAGACAGUUGUGAAAUCCCCGGGCUCAACCUGGGAACUGCAUCUGUGACUGCAUCGCUGGAGUGCGGCAGAGGGGGAUGGAAUUCCGCGUGUAGCAGUGAAAUGCGUAGAUAUGCGGAGGAACACCGAUGGCGAAGGCAAUCCCCUGGGCCUGCACUGACGCUCAUGCACGAAAGCGUGGGGAGCAAACAGGAUUAGAUACCCUGGUAGUCCACGCCCUAAACGAUGUCAACUGGUUGUUGGGAAUUUGCUUUCUCAGUAACGAAGCUAACGCGUGAAGUUGACCGCCUGGGGAGUAC
rnacentral:rRNA from 1 species